rnacentral:lncRNA from 1 species
GGCUCUGGCGGGUCGGGUCCCUCAACCACGAGGCUACACUUUGCUGCCAGUGUGGCUCAGAGACAGCGACUAGCCCACACUGCAGGCAAGGGGACGCGCGGGCUCGAACCGGGCGUGUCUGACGCCAAGACGCUUAGACUUUCCACGAGCCCUUCCAUCAAGUGCCAUGCCUUUCUCCCCCAGCCCCACACCUGCCCCACUUUACAGAUCGGGAACCUGGGUCUCCCCGGGGCCAAGCAGCCCAGUCAGUCGGCGCAGGGCCUGCCCCAGCCGGGUCUGCAGAGGGCCAAGGGCCGGAGGGGCUGGGGUCCGCGGGCAGAAGGGGCGUCGAGGGUCCCGAGAGGCCCGGGACGAUGCCUAGAAUGGGGACGAUCGAGGGCGGAAGAUGGGAGGGGGCGCUUACUCCGUCCCAUGUCGCCCCUCGAGGGUCUCGGGGGGCUCCACCAGGCCCGGGAAGCUCCACCAGGACCCGCCAAGACUCCCCGGCCACCUCGGUCUCUCCUCCGCGCGUCGGCACCUGGGAGCCAUGGCAACGGGGACUCUACGGAGGCCGCGCGGGGCCAGACGGGGCCGCGUUUCCCGACUCUGGAGGUGCUGGGAGGAGGGUCUACCCCAGAGAAGACCAGGGUGCCCCAUAGCCCAGACCUAGUCCUCCAACACGGCCCCAGCCUCCAUCUCGGCAGACUGCUUCCCUGACCCCAGAUCAGCUGGCCGAACUAAACACAGAACCACAGAACGCUCUGUUUCCUGAGGGGAGCUGCUUCCUGAGUCCCCUUAGCCUGUCCUUUGCUCUUUUCUCUUCGUAUUUGAUUGAAGGCCUUCCACACUGGAAUCGGCCCACACUCCCGUUUCCCAAGGUGUGACCUUAAACUUCCCUAACCUUAAUUUCCACCUGUUAGGUAAGUACUGAUAAUAACCUCCAAGGGUCAUUGUGAAGCUUAAUGAAAUAAUUUCAGUGAAUGAAAGACACUUAAAAAACAAACAGCCGACUCAGUAUUUAGGGGAUCAAGCAGGCUACCCAAGAAAGGUGCCCCAUUCUCUGAAAUAACUUCUUCAUCUCGAGACGUUUUUACUGAAAUCUAGGGUAAGAAAUCCUUCUUAUAAGAGGAAGAUCUUGGGCUGUUUGACAUUCUGGUGGAAUAGAGAAGAGAUGUGGGUGAUAAAACAAGAAAACCAGGAAUAUUUCUUCAUAAUUUGUUAUGGGCCAGGCUGGGGUGGUUUUGCUGUGCCCUUUCUCCACCCAGCAUCACAAGACACUGUGUGUUUUAGAAUCAGAGGACCCAUGGAUCACGCAGGACAGGUGUACAGUGUGCUUUGAUUGUUACCCUCCACUGAUGGGAAGGGAAAUUGGGAAAUAAAUCACAGUGUGACAGCUCCAAGUGAAGUCAAAUUCAUUUCAUUCCAACUGAACGU